rnacentral:rRNA from 1 species
AUGCUCUGCCAACCUACCGAUGGAAAGGCGAGGCUCACCAAGGGAUGCCUUAUUAUGGCAAAAAAUGAAGCCCUUCUUGAGAUUGUUUACUACUACGUAUCCUCGAUGUGGGGAGACCGACCACAAGAGGGUAAUCGGUCUUAUGUCACCUUUAUCUUCGCAGGAGUCAGGAGCAAGCAAAUUACUUUGACAUUUAGCAUAUAUUUACUAGAGUUUCAGAAGGUCAAUAAUACCCAAUGCAUUGCCUUCCAUGACCUACCUUGGUCUAUUCUCAUGGGUGAUCUGCUAACUCAUUUUAAUUCGGUGCCUAGGUACUAUUUCCUUCGGCAUUCUGUUUUAUAA